GCUAUUCAUUCAAAGCGUGCGUAAUAGCUCACUAGUCGAGUGACCCUGCGCCGAAAAUGUACCGGGGCUAAAAAAUAUUACCGAAGCUGUGGAUACCUUUAUAGGUAUGGUAGGAGAGCGUUCUAUGUGCGAAGAAGGUGUACCGUGAGGAGUGCUGGAGCGCAUAGAAGUGAGAAUGCCGGUAUGAGUAGCGAAAGACAGGUGAGAAUCCUGUCCACCGUAAGACUAAGGUUUCCAGGGGAAGGCUCGUCCGCCCUGGGUUAGUCGGGACCUAAGCUCAGGCCGAAAGGCGUAGGCGAUGGACAACAGGUUGAUAUUCCUGUACCACCUCCUCACCGUUUGAGAAAUGGGGGGACGCAGUAGGAUAGGGUAAGCAGAGCGUUGGUUGUCUCUGUUCAAGCAGUAAGGCGUGUGUGUAGG
rnacentral:rRNA from 1 species